AGAGUUUGAUUAUGGCUCAGGAUGAACGCUGGCGGCGUGCUUAACACAUGCAAGUCGAACGGGAAACAUUUCAUUGAGGCUUCGGCGGAUUUGGUCUGUUUCUAGUGGCGGACGGGUGAGUAACGCGUGGGUAACCUGCCUUAUACUGGGGGAUAACAGCCAGAAAUGACUGCUAAUACCGCAUAAGCGCACAGAACCGCAUGGUUCGGUGUGAAAAACUCCGGUGGUAUAAGAUGGACCCGCGUUGGAUUAGCUAGUUGGCAGGGCAGCGGCCUACCAAGGCGACGAUCCAUAGCCGGCCUGAGAGGGUGAACGGCCACAUUGGGACUGAGACACGGCCCAG
rnacentral:rRNA from 1 species